AUACGUAGGUGACAAGCGUUAUCCGGAUUUACUGGGCGUAAAGGGCGUGUAGGCGGUCUUGCAAGUCAGAAGUGAAAUUCCUGAGCUCAACUCGGGCGCUGCUUCUGAAACUGCAGGACUUGAGUGCUGGAGGGGAUAGCGGAAUUCCUAGUGGAGCGGUAAAAUGCGCAGAUAUUAGGAAGAACACCGGUGGCGAAGGCGUCUAUCUGGACAGUAACUGACGCUGAGGCGCGAAAGCGGGGGGAGCAAAUAGGAUUAGAUCCCCUGGUUGUCCACGCCGUAAACGAUAAAUACUAGGUGUAGGGGGUAUCGACUCCCUCUGUGCCGCAGUUAACACAAUAAGUAUUCCGCCUGGGGAGUACGGCCGCAAGGUUGAAACUCAAAGGAAUUGACGGGG
rnacentral:rRNA from 1 species